GACAAUUCCAUCAAUUAGCUAGCAUUCAUCUUCUCGUUCUCUAAUCUCAGUAACAAAAGGAAUUUUUGGAUCGUAAACUCUGAAAACUCCGAAUCUUCAUAAUGUCAGAUAAAGUUAGGAGACAAAGGUUGGGAAAGCAAAGUUUAGCACACAGCUCAGCAUGUAGAGAGCGUGCGGUAUAAGCUGGUAUCCCAAAACGCGGUAAGGGGAAACAAGCUCCUUCAACUUCAGAGGCUCAACAUGAGCUUGAACACGAGCAUGAACAAGUGGAUGAAGCUCAACAUGAGUCUGAACACGAGCCUCAACACAUGGACGAAGUUGAAGAAGAGGCUGGCAUGAAAAUGACCAGGACUGUUAUGUGAUUGAGAUAAGUUAUAUCAUAUCAUUCAUAAAUUAAGGUUACAGACUUAGAAUUUUAGAAUUUUAGAAUGCAUUAUGACAAGAUAUGUUAGUUUCUGCAUAACUUCAGGAGGUGCAGAUUGUCCCACAAGUGAAACUAGCUUAUCAAAUGAAUUAAAUGAAUUUUACUUUUUGGAAUUUUGAUUUUUUCUGUGAUGACCUGCAUUAAUAUUAGUUGUAUUGGAGGUUCUUGUGUUUUUUGCAGCAUGCAUCUUUCUAUGAUAGGUGCUGAUAUCUUGGUAUUCUUGCUUAGUUUUUUAGCCUAUUGUAUUAGAUAAAGGUAGUAUUGGAGUUUAAAUGUUGUUAGCUAUCGAUAUCCAUAUACACUGAACAAGUGCUUGAUUUGAAUUUUGUAGUGUACCGACCGGUAUCUCAGGUGCAUUUCAACAAAUUGCUAUAUAUUUGUGUUCUGCCUUUCAAAGUAUUCACUUAUCAUGCUUAUAUUUAUCUUUAUGCCUUUCAAAGUAUUCACUUAUUAUGCAUGUGAAUAUUGUUCGUGCCAGAACUAGCAAAUGAUAUCUCCAAUCCUGUUUGCAACAUUGCAAGGAACCAAAAUGAUUUUAAGGGCAAAUUGGUCAAGAUGGGGGGCCUGGAUGUAUUAUAGGGGGGCCUAAAAAGCAAUUUUCAUGAUUGCUAAACAAGCUUGGAAUUUUGUGUCAAUACUUUGGUGGCUAGAAUAUACUAAGGGUCCUAUUGGCUUGCUUUUUUUGAGCUUAUGCAAAUAGCUUAUGCAAUAUAAAUUAAGUU